rnacentral:piRNA from 1 species
UAACAUGAGAAAUGAAGCUUCUCACAUCGUU